rnacentral:rRNA from 1 species
UACGGGGGGGGCAAGCGUUGUUCGGAAUUACUGGGCGUAAAGGGCUCGUAGGUUGCCAACUAAGUCGGACGUGAAAUCCCUCAGCUUAACUGGGGAACUGCGUCCGAUACUGGAUGGCUUGAGUUUGGGAGAGGGAUGCGGAAUUCCAGGUGUAGCGGUGAAAUGCGUAGAUAUCUGGAGGAACACCGGUGGCGAAGGCGGCAUCCUGGACCAACACUGACACUGAUGAGCGAAAGCAUGGGGAGCGAACAGG